AUGAGCGUUGUUGGAAAUGAGGUGUUGUCGCCGAGGGUCGCCUCGUUCUCGUCGAGAGGCCCUAGCCUAGCGUUUUCAGCCAUACUCAAGCCUGAUAUAGCUGCACCGGGAGUCAACAUCUUGGCAGCAGUGCGCGGCACCUACGUGUUGUUGUCCGGGACGUCCAUGGCAUGUCCUCAUGUCUCAGCGGUCACUGCGCUGCUCAAGUCGGUUCACCCUGACUGGUCACCUGCCAUUAUCAAAUCUGCCCUUAUCACCACAGCUUCAGUGACUGAUCAUUUCGGUAUGCCGAUCCAAGCUGAGGGGGUGCCAAGAAAACUAGCUGACCCUUUUGAUUUUGGGGGUGGCCACAUGGACCCAGACAGGGCCGUCGAUCCUGGCUUGGUUUAUGAUGUGGAUGCAAAGGAGUACAACAAAUUCUUGAAUUGCACCCUUGAAUUGUUAGACGGCUGUGAGUCCUACCAACUCAAUCUCAACCUCCCAUCAAUCACCGUGCCAAACCUAAAGGACAAUGUCACAAUUUCGCGCACUGUCACCAAUGCCGGACCGGUGGAAGCGACUUACCAAGUGGUUGUUGAGUCUCCCGCAGGGGUAGCCGUGUUGAUGGAGCCAUCUAUUAUUAGUUUCACCAAAGGUGGUAGGGAUACUCGGGGCAUCCCGCUCUUCGGCCAGGACCGGGAGCUCGCCUCCUCUCCUGCACGUGGGCGCCAUUGA
rnacentral:rRNA from 1 species